AGAUUUUUUGUGUAUUAAUUAAAAUUAUCCUUCCUUUUAGUUUUUAAUAUAACUUAUGUUGGGUCAGUUUCAAGUAAAAAUGAGAAUUUUUUAAUUACGAACAAGUAGAAAAAGAUAAAGGGAUUUAUACAGGGCUAGGUUGUGCCAGCACUCGCGGUCAUACAUCCUUAGGAGAGGAAUAAUAUAGAGUUAAUUUUCUUAUUAAUCAUAACAGUAAAGGAAUAUGGGUAUAUUGUGGUGAAAUAAUAAAAUAUAUUAUAGGUUUCUGGAAGGUAUAAUAAGAUAGAAAUUAAUUAGAUAGACUAGGAUUUGAUACCCUAUUAUUUUUAACCUUAAAUAAAUUUAUAGAUUAAUGAUUAAGUCAGUAAAAACAUUACACAUGGCAAUUAUGAACCUGAUUAGAGAAGCAUGUUGUUGAAAACGAAUCUACACGAGAAAUGAUCUUUAUCUAGAUUAGACCAUUAUGUACACCGCUAUCUGAAAGAUAGCCUUAGACUAGCUGUCUUUGAUUAUAAAUUAAUGUAAGGUAAGUUAAGGUGCAGACUAUGAUAAUGAAAAUAGUGUGCCUCAUAAAGAUAUAUGGAUUUUAUAUUGGAAUUAUUAACAAAAAAGAAUUUAAAAGUAAAUUAGGUUUAUAAACUUUGAUUGAAUUAGAUAUUCAACUUGUACAUAUUGCCCGUCACUCCGUAAGUGGAGAAGUCGUAACACAGUUGGCCUACCGGAAGGUGGGCCAGAUUUUAU
rnacentral:ncRNA from 1 species